GUCCGCAUUCUAAGACAGUUGGAAACUUGGCAACCAAUGCUCUAUCUCUGGGAAACCGAUAGAGAGGGUAUGUGGAAGUAUCUCUCUGAAGGAAACCGAUUUUGGAGCUUCCUGGGAAUUGGAUCAUCUUUUACAGAGAAGUUGAAAUGAAUGCAACUGAGAAUAGCAGAAAAGAAGAAAGCUGGGAAUUUUUUUCAGCAGAAUUUCUCCCAGUAUCUUCUAUCACAGAAAACCAAAUCAUCUAUCAAAUAAUAUUUUUAAGCAAUGAGGGAAAGAGAGAAGAGAAAAAACUCAAUAGUCAGUUAAUACAUAAAAAAAUACUUAAGCAAUGUACUAUCUUUGUGGACCUCUCACUUCUGCCAAUGAAUAAGGAUAGAAGUGUGUCUUCUCAUAUCUCUUCUUUGGGACCACACGAAUAAACAA
ensembl:lncRNA